ACUCAAAUGAAUUGACGGGGGCCCGCACAAGCGGUGGAGUAUGUGGUUUAAUUCGAAGCAACGCGAAGAACCUUACCUGGGUUUGACAUCCUCUGAAAGCGGUAGAAAUAUCGUCGGCUCGCAAGAGACAGAGAGACAGGUGCUGCAUGGCUGUCGUCAGCUCGUGUCGUGAGAUGUUGGGUUAAGUCCCGCAACGAGCGCAACCCUUUCCCUUAUUUGCCAUCAUUAAGUUGGGCACUCUAGGGGUACUGCCGGUGAUAAACCGGAGGAAGGUGGGGAUGACGUCAAGUCCUCAUGGCCCUUACAUCCAGGGCUACACACGUACUACAAUGGUCAAGACAAAGCGACGCGAAACCGAGAGGUGGAGCCAAUCGCAAAAACAUGAUCUCAGUUCGGAUUGUGGUCUGCAACUCGACCACAUGAAGUUGGAAUCGCUAGUAAUCGCAGAUCAGCAAGCUGCGGUGAAUACGUUCUCGGGCCUUGUACACACCGCCCGU
rnacentral:rRNA from 1 species